rnacentral:lncRNA from 1 species
AAUUUUAUUCUUUUUUUGGCUGAAAAAACUGCAUACACAUGUUCAGAUCUGAGCAACCUUCACCACAUGUCUUCGUUUCCAAACAAAUUUGUUCUCUGAAGCAUGCAGGAGCCCACUGCAGCUUGAGAAAGAAGUUAAGAGGGUUUUCUUUUUAAUCUAGAACUGUGCAAACAUCAUUUGAAAGCUAUUUACAUUUUGCACUCUCACUUCUACUAACAGGAGCAUCAGCUGGUAGAGAUGUGCAGAGUGCAGCUGUAAUUUAUGAUUUGGCACCCACGUUUGAUUUGUGUGGAGUGAAAACCAAACAAACCUCCCACUGUUCCAAAACCUCCCCACAGGCAAUGGCAAUAAAUCUAAUUUCUUCUUUGUGAAGGAAAUCUCUUUAAGCCUUCCCUGCAGGUAUUAAAAUAUUGUUUCCACUCUGGAGCCUCUUCCCCUGGUGCUGAUUUGCACUUUGCUGCCUUGGUGAGUGGGAGCAGCAAGAAAAGAUUUUGAUUUUCACCAGAGAAGGCAAAGGGCACUGAGACAGAGCAGGGCUGCUUCUUCCUGUCAUCCUCACUAAACUGCAAGAUGAGAUGGAGAAUUUUUUUCCAAAAAAAAAAAAAUUAUUUUAGACCAUCUGAACUCAGCUGCAGAAACUUAGAUGUGAAAAAAGCUGGAUUUAAGUUCAUCCUCCUGUUGCCUUCUCUUCCAAGUUUCUCUCCCAUCCAUUGAAGCCUGGAAGUCACCAACCAGCCAGCCAGGAGCUCCAAUCCUGCUGGAGAUCCUCAUUUUUUAUCUCCUCUAACCUGGCCCCUGGAUUGUGUUGGUAGAACUUUGGGUGUGAGGAGCCACCAAAACAGCCUCUGCCAGAGCAGGUGGAUGCAGCUCAUUUCCAAAGGAAUCAGAAAUUUUGUGGAUUAAAAGAACAUUUAAUGGAAAUUACACGUCUAGGAAAGAUUUCCCUCUUGGGUGAUGCCUUUAUGCAUUCAUUAUUCCCGGCUCCACUUGGAAAAGAGAAUGGCUGAGCAAGAAUUAAACAGGAAAUAGGGUUUGCCUUCACUGUUCAUUGUUAAAUGUUCUUUUUGGCAUUUGAAACAAUCUCUAAAUGCAGGCUAAAAGCAUCUAUUUAGAGAAAAUAGAAUGAUAAGAAAUGUUCAAGGCUUUACAGAGGGAUUCUGUUAUUUUGGGGUUUAAGGAUGUUCCAAGCAGAUCAGUCCAUAGGGAAUUCAUCAGAUUUCCCUGCUGGAAAACCUCCCAAUGUCCCAUUUUCUUCUACC